UCGGGAAUUUUGGGCAAUGGGCGAAAGCCUGACCCAGCAACGCCGCGUGAAGGAUGAAGUAUUUCGGUAUGUAAACUUCGAAAGAAUAGGAAGAAUAAAUGACGGUACUAUUUAUAAGGUCCGGCUAACUACGUGCCAGCAGCCGCGGUAAUACGUAGGGUGCAGGCGUUAAUCGGAAUUACUGGGCGUAAAGCGUGCGCAGGCGGUUUGUUAAGACAGGUGUGAAAUCCCCGGGCUUAACCUGGGAAUUGCGCUUGUAACUGGCAGGCUAGAGUGUGGCAGAGGGGGGUGGAAUUCCACGUGUAGCAGUGAAAUGCGUAGAUAUGUGGAGGAACACCGAUGGCGAAGGCAGCCCCCUGGGUUAACACUGACGCUCAUGCACGAAAGCGUGGGGAGCAAACAGGAUUAGAUACCCAAGUAGUCCCUGAGCGGGCUGGCAAGGCGCAU
rnacentral:rRNA from 1 species